UGCGGGGUCCUGGGCCCAGGGGCCCGGCCCGGUCUGCGCCGCGGGGGUCGCAGCCCGCCCGGUUCGCGUGUGCUGCGAGCCCCUCGGGGCCGAGCAGUGUGAGCGAGAGAGGUGGGGAGGAGGAGAACGACUAAUACCGGUCCCUACGUGCCGGGGAGCCGAUGUAGCAGAAUUACUGAGGAAAAAUGCCCGACAUCGCUAGGAAUUACACCUUCAGCUAUUUAAAUGUAUCAGGGUAGAGAAGAAACUGGGAAUAAGUGUGACAGAUGUGGAGAAAAAGAGUGGGAAACAUUAGUAAGUGAUUUGAGGGUGCAAGAAAUGGAUGUAGGAAAAUGUGAGAAGAGGAAAAUAUUGCUAAAGAAGAAGAGAAAUCUCAGCCCACAAAUCCCUGAGCAAAGAUAAAAUGCAAGAAUAACCAGGAAAAGAGCAAUUAUUAAGAUUUAAAUGAAGGACACCCUCCAGAAGUUGUACGUCUAUAAUCUCCCUGAUACUGUCCACAGUCACCUGAUACUCCCUUUUCUGGCCCCCGGGUCAAGACUGGUAUCAAAGCCUCUAUUCAUACUGGGAUAUGCACAAGAAUCCAAGCUACUAAAAAAGGUUUAUACACUUGGUCAUCUUCACUAGACCUUAAAUUAGCCAAUAACCAGGAUCAAAACUUUUAGGCUCUAAGGAAAACAGCACGUUUGAUUACAGGGGAACCAAGACUUCCAGAACAGAAAGACUAUUUUCACAGUUGUUCCUGUCCUGUAAGGCUCAUCUUCCCUUCUUACAUGGAAAUGUUGACUUGAACCUGAUCCUGUGUUAAAAUAUCCUGUUUCCUAGUGACACUUGAUGUGAUUAUGUUAUUGUCUAAUGGAGGAUGUCACUUAACUAAGACCUUUCAACAUAUUGAGCUUUUAAGAUCAGGACUGCACAGGAUUACAAGUGGCUCUGGCUUGAUAUCAUUGUUUUUGUACUGAGGCUGAUGAUCUUGGCUGAAGUUGAGGGCUCUUAGCAGCUAGCAGGAAAUAGUAAACAUGCUGAAGGCCUCUGCCAUCCUCGUGGAAAUGCAGAAGUAAGGAAACAUCUUCACAGAAUUAGCCCUCACUGUACUGCUGCACAGACAGACAUGGGAGUGAGGGACAGAAGCAAUCGGAAGCAGCAGGUUCACAGACUACAGUUGGCAGUUCGAAUCAUAACAGAAACUUCAAGUCAAAGCCUUGCUGAUGGCAACCACUUUAUCUCCACUUGCCUUCACAGAAUUACAUAAUCACCAAGUGAGAGAAACAAGACCAGACUGCAUCUUCACUUCACUACUUUUUUUUUUUUUUUUUUUUUUUAACAUAUAUUGGAAAGAAUUUUAGAAUGCAUUAUUUUCCUUUAUAUCUAGUCCCUAUAUUUUAAGGCUUCACCUUGUACAAAAAGUUUGAAGCUUUCUAGGAAAGAAAAUGUGACCUAGAACAAGAGUUUUCAGAGAAAAUUCAUGUGACUAAAAUACAAGUCAGCUCUUAACACCUCAGUUCUGUACUCAGUUAGCUCAGUUCUUCUGCUACUUAUUCAUUUGCUGAGAAAGAACCAUUUUCCUUACCAAAUUGUAAAUUUUAAUGACUAUAAGCCUACUCUCCUCUGAAAAAACUUUGGAAAAUUGUAGUUCUGGUCUAUGGAAUGACAACAGGCUUUCCCAAGUUCCUUUUCCAUUGCUACUACCUUCUGCAAUAGCAUUAUCACAUAAUAGCUUUCACAGAAUGGUAAAUGGUGUAACAAAUCAGAGAAUUUAUUUUGGUUUACUUGCAUAGCUGUGUCUGAGCUAUGAUGAAGAUGCUGUAAGCAUAACACCCUGCAAAUCUAAGUUCUAUCUGUAUGAAUUUAGCCUACAUUGAAACUGAAGUACAAAACUGUGUUGAUUCCUGAUGCUACUCAGCAAAGUCAAGACACAGGUAAGAAGAAAACCACAGAUGGUGACUUCUUACUUUACUUUGCCCAGAAUAUCUUUGUUCCUAUUUACUAUCAUUCUUAUCUUCUAACAUAAGCUAUAGAAUAAUAAUAAUAAUAAAAAA